rnacentral:sRNA from 1 species
UCGCCGAAAAGCGAGGCCCCGGAUAGGA